UACCUAGAAUUCAAAAGUGAUAGG
rnacentral:siRNA from 1 species